rnacentral:rRNA from 1 species
AGUAAAUUGGUUAAGUUAGAAAGGGCGCACGGUGGAUGCCUUGGCACUAGGAGCCGAAGAAGGACGGGACUAACACCGAUAUGCUUUGGGGAGCUGUACGUAAGCGUUGAUCCAGAGAUUUCCGAAUGGGGGAACCCACUAUCUUUAGUCGGAUAGUAUCCUUACGUGAAUACAUAGCGUGAGGAAGGCAGACCCAGGGAACUGAAACAUCUAAGUACCUGGAGGAAGAGAAAGAAAAAUCGAUUUCCUGAGUAGCGGCGAGCGAAACGGAAAGAGCCCAAACCAAGAAGCUUGCUUCUUGGGGUUGUAGGACACUCUAUACGGAGUUACAAAAGAAAGUUAUAAAUGAAGCGGUCUGGAAAGGCCCGCCAAAGACGGUAACAGCCCGGUAGUUGAAAUGGCUUUCCCUCCAGAGUGGAUCCUGAGUACGGCGGAACACGUGAAAUUCCGUCGGAAUCCGGGAGGACCAUCUCCCAAGGCUAAAUACUCCCUAGUGACCGAUAGUGAACCAGUACCGUGAGGGAAAGGUGAAAAGCACCCCGGAAGGGGAGUGAAACAGUUCCUGAAACCGUGUGCCUACAAGUAGUU